ACUUCUCCAGAUAAUGUGGUCAUACGAUCACUGUGGGAAGAAGUGCUGCACACAGUGAUCGUAUGACCACAUUACCUGGAGAAGU